AUGCUGCUGGCUGGCAUCAAGUUCGAUCCCACGGAUCAAGAGCUGAUCGAGCACCUUGAGGCCAAAGUGAGUGCUGACAGCGCGAGAUCUGACCCUCUCAUCGAUUUGUUCAUACCAACCAUCGAUUGCGAGCACGACAUAUGCUACACCCAUCCUGAGAAACUUCCAGGUAUCACACUGAGUGGCCUAAACAAGCAUUUCUUCCAGCGCAAUUCUAGGGCGUUCAAAAGGGGCACGUGGACACGUCGCAAGAUACAGUCGGAGUGCGGCAUGCACACGAUGUGGCACAACAUCGGCAAUACCUUACCGGUGAUGGUCAACGGCCGGCAGACGGGCAGCAAAAAGGUUCUGGUGCUGCACACCAACAAGAACUUCGACCAGCAAAGGACCAACUGGGUGAUGCACCAGUACCACCUCGGGGACCUGAGGCAAGAGAAGAAGCGGGAGCUGGUCCUCUGCAAGAUAACACUAGGGCUAGGAGUAAAAAGAUUAUAA
rnacentral:rRNA from 1 species